rnacentral:rRNA from 1 species
CAAUAGCGUAUAUUUAAGUUGUUGCAGUUAAAAAGCUCGUAGUUGGAUUUCGGUUGAGAACGGCCGGUCCGCCGUUUGGUGUGCACUGGCUGGUUUCAACUUCCUGUAGAGGACGCGCUCUGGCUUCACGGCUGGACGCGGAGUCUACGUGGUUACUUUGAAAAAAUUAGAGUGUUCAAAGCGGGCUUACGCUUGAAUAUUUCAGCAUGGAAUAACACUAUAGGACUCCUGUCCUAUUUCGUUGGUCUCGGGACGGGAGUAAUGAUUAAGAGGAACAGUUGGGGGCAUUCGUAUUUCAUUGUCAGAGGUGAAAUUCUUGGAUUUAUGAAAGACGAACUUCUGCGAAAGCAUUUGCCAAGGAUGUUUUCAUUGA